AUUGAACGCUGGCGGCAGGCCUAACACAUGCAAGUCGAACGAGUGGCGGACGGGUGAGUAAUGUCUGGGAAACUGCCUUAUGGAGGGGGAUAACUACGGGAAACGGUAGCUAAUACCGCAUACCAUCGGAUGAGCCCAGAUGGGAUUAGCUAGUUGGUGGGGUAACGGCUCACCAAGGCGACGAUCCCUAGCUGGUCUGAGAGGAUGACCAGCCACACUGGAACUGAGACACGGUCCAGACUCCUACGGGAGGCAGCAGUGGGGAAUAUUGCACAAUGGGCGGAAGCCUGAUGCAGCCAUGCCGCGUGUAUGAAGAAGGCCUUCGGGUUGUAAAGUACUUUCGGCGGGGAGGCGUUACCCGCAGAAGAAGCACCGGCUAACUCCGUGCCAGCAGCCGCGGUAAUUG
rnacentral:rRNA from 1 species